rnacentral:rRNA from 1 species
GACGAACGCUGGCGGCAUGCCUUACACAUGCAAGUCGAACGGCAGCACGGGAGCAAUCCUGGUGGCGAGUGGCGAACGGGUGAGUAAUAUAUCGGAACGUGCCCAGUCGUGGGGAUAACGUAGCGAAAGCUACGCUAAUACCGCAUACGAUCUAUGGAUGAAAGCGGGGGAUCGCAAGACCUCGCGCGAAUGGACCUGCCGAUAUCAGAUUAGGUAGUUGGUGAGGUAAAGGCUCACCAAGCCGACGAUCUGUAGCUGGUCUGAGAGGACGACCAGUCACACUGGGACUGAGACACGGCCCAGACUCCUACGGGAGGCAGCAGUGGGGAAUUUUGGACAAUGGGCGCAAGCCUGAUCCAGCAAUGCCGCGUGCAGGAUGAAGGCCUUCGGGUUGUAAACUGCUUUUGUACGGAACGAAACGGUGAGCUCUAAUACAGUUUGCUAAUGACGGUACCGUAAGAAUAAGCACCGGCUAACUACGUGCCAGCCGCCGCGGUAA